rnacentral:rRNA from 1 species
GGUCUUGACUCUCCGACACCCUAGAGAUAGGGUUUCUCUUUCGGGAGCGAGUGACAGGUGGUGCAUGGUUGUCGUCAGCUCGUGUCGUGAGAUGUUUGGGUUAAGUCCCGCAACGAGCGCAACCCUUGAUCUUAGUUGCCAUCAUUUAGUGGGCACUCUAAGGUGACUGCCGGUGACAAACCGGAGGAAGGUGGGGAUGACGUCAAAUCAUCAUGCCCCUUAUGACCUGGGCUACACACGUGCUACAAUGGACGGUACAAAGAGCUGCAAGACCGCGAGGUGGAGCUAAUCUCAUAAAACCGUUCUCAGUUCGGAUUGUAGGCUGCAACUCGCCUACAUGAAGCUGGAAUCGCUAGUAAUCGCGGAUCAGCAUGCCGCGGUGAAUA